UACCUGUCUGAUGCCCUACGUUUUGCUUGCCAUUUUCGAAUGGUCAGUCCAUCUCGUGGGUGACGGGUUGUGCUGUCUUCACGGACAGUGCUAGGCUUAAUGAGUGGUACGGCAUAUUGAGCUACGGCUCGGCCACCGCCCUGUUUGUUUCAAUUUAUGCCAUUUUACACUGUUCAAGUGGUUCAGGUCAGCUCGUCUGGGCUGUUCCACUGCCCGACAUGCACCCGGCCUCGUGCUGGACUGCAUGUACAGUCGCCUGGCGGUGCCUUAUCCCGGGCUAGACUGGUUAACCAUACAUCGUUC
rnacentral:misc_RNA from 1 species